GAGCUGUAACACUUUGAAGAAUCCUACUUCAGCUGAGGGACUGGGAGAACUCAUUCUUUGUGUGUAUGUGUGUAUUGCUAAGUUAUGAUCCAACAUUCGAGGAAGGAUUUUAAAUUGUGUUUAUUUUUUUAUUAUUCUGAUUUGUUAUACAUGAUGGCAGACUGCAAUUCAUUUCAUAUUACACAUAUAGAGCACAAUUUUUCAAGACACUGGUUGUACACAAAGUAUUUUCACACCAUUCAUGUCUUAUACAUGUAUUUAGGAUAAUGACAUCUAACUCAUUCCACCAUCAUCCCUACCCCCUUGCCCUCUCCUUUCCCCUUCCUCCCCUUUGGCCUAUCUAAAGUUCCUCCAUUCCUCUAGUGCUCCCCCCGCCCCCCAUUCGCCAUUGCGCCUCUGCAUCCUCAUAUCAAAGAAAACAUUCGGCCUUUGGUUCGCUUAGCAUUAUAUUCUCCAACUUCAUCCAUUUACCUUCAAAUGUCAUGAUUUUGUUCCCUUUUAAUGCUGAAAGUACGCCCAAAUCUCCAUCAUGUCAGAUUAGGCCCCAACUUUCUUAAUAAAACUCCUGUAGCAUAAGAAUCAAUAAAUGGGAUGCAUUCAUACUAAAAAGCUUCUUCUCAGCAAAAGAAACAAUCAGUGAGGUGAAUAGAGAAGAGAGCCUACAGAAUGGAAGCAAAUCCUUAUCACAAGCAUAUCAGAUAGAGCACUAAUCUCUAGUAUAUAUAAAGCACUCAAAAACCUUAACACCAAAAAAAACCCCCAAAUAACCCAAUCAAUAAAUGGGCCAAGGAACUGAACAGACACUUCUCGGAAGAGGAUGUACAAUCAAUCAACAAACUGAAAAAAUGUUCAUCAUCUCUAGCAACUAGAGAAAUGCAAAUCAAAACUACUCUGAUUUCAUCUCAAUCCUGUCAGAAUGGCAAUCAUCAAGACUACAAGCACCAAUAAAUGUUGGCAAGGAUGUGGGGGAAAAGGCAUGCUCAUACAUUGCUGGUGGAACUGCAAAUUGGUGCAAUCACUCUGGAGAGCUCUAUGGAGAUUCCUUGGAAAACUGGGAAUGGAACCACCAUUUGACCCAGCUAUCCCACUCCUUGGUUUAUAUCCAAAGGACUUAAAAACAGCAAACUACAGGGACACAGCUAUAUGAAUAUUUGUAGCAGCACAAUUCACAAUAGCUAAAUUAUGGAACCAGCCUAGAUGCCCUUCAGUAUAUGAAUGGAUAGGGAAACGUUGGUAUAUAUAUAUAUAUACCCAAUGGAAUAUUAUUCAGCAUUAGAUUGUGUUUCUUAAUUAGGGGAAAUAUAAAUCCUUAACUCUAGGACACAUUUGAUGAGGGAUAGAAGGACUCCUCCACAGAGAGUUCCUACUCUAGGAUUUUGUGAGGGUUAGUAUAAAAAGAUUAUAACUUUAAGAUCGUUUAGCUUUCCACACUUGUACAUGCAUGUAUGCAUAUAAUUUGACUUAAAGGGAUUUCAUACAUUUUCUAAAAGAAACUAAGAUAUUUUGGGAGACUUGGAUGUAUAAGGAAAGGGAGAGAAACCAUCUUAUACCAAGUACAUUGGUUUUGUGAUUCUAGUUACUUCUUUUGACAACCCUGCAAAAUAAUUAUAUUAGAACAUGGAAAACUGAGACUCUGAAGUGGUCACAGAGCUUUUAUGUUGUAGAACAAGGAUCUGACCGUGGACCUGUUGGAUCUAAAGUUCCUCCACUGUGCCCAAUCCUUCCUUUGCUAUAAAUGUGUCCUUGGAAAAAUGACAGCUUUGUUUUUAGUCAAAAAAAUCAUGGCAGUAGGAUAUUUUUCUAAGGUUACCCAAGGGAGAAGAGGUGCCAAGCAUCCUGAUGGUGAGGUAGCACCCAAUUCCUAAAAAGAUGAUAUCAGCAAUCAGUGGAAGUAGUUUGGACUCUAAACUGGAGAAAGAAUCAUUUUGAGCACUGCUGUGUAGCCUCCAGACAGAUUAUUUGGGAAAGUAAAUCAAAGGCAGAGUGUGUCAAUCUAAUGGACCUAAAGGAGAGUUAUAUUGUCCCAUCCUUCCUAACCCUUUAAAAGUUUGAAUAAUGAUGAAUUGAAAACAUUUGUGUAGGCAGAAAGACAAACUUCUCCUCUGUGAUCUUAAAAGAAAAAAAAUUAGUUACUUUUCUCCAACUCUGGACCUUUCUUAUUGAGUGACACAUAAUUACGCAUUAACAGCAUAUGUUACAGUAUACUUUGUACAAUCAUAAUCUAAAUUUCAAUGUAUUUUUUUCUAAAGGUACAGUUAAAAAGUACAACUGGUAAUAUUAUAAUGAUAACUAAUACUAACAAUAAAUAAUAAUUGAG
rnacentral:lncRNA from 1 species